CCUACGGGUGGCAGCAGUGAGGAAUAUUGGUCAAUGGACGAGAGUCUGAACCAGCCAAGUAGCGUGAAGGAUGACUGCCCUAUGGGUUGUAAACUUCUUUUAUCUGGGAAUAAAAUGUUCCCCGUGUGGGAUUUUGUAUGUACCAUAUGAAUAAGGAUCGGCUAACUCCGUGCCAGCAGCCGCGGUAAUACGGAGAAUCCGAGCGUUAUCCGGAUUUAUUGGGUUUAAAGGGAGCGUAGGUGGAUUGUUAAGUCAGUAGUGAAAGUUUGCGGCUCAACGGGUAAAGUGCAGUUGAAACUGGCAGUCUUGAGUACAGAAGAGGUGGGCGGAAUGCGUGGUGUAGCGGUGAAAUGCUUAGAUAUCACGAAGAACUCCGAUUGCGAAGGCAGUUCACUGGACUGCAACUGACACUGAGGCUCGAAAGUGUGGGUAUCAAACAGGAUUAGAUACCCUAGUAGUC
rnacentral:rRNA from 1 species